rnacentral:rRNA from 1 species
UACAGAGGGGGCAAGCGUUGUUCGGAAUUACUGGGCGUAAAGGGCGCGUAGGCGGCCCGCUAAGUCGAACGUGAAAUCCCUGGGCUCAACCCAGGAACUGCGUCCGAUACUGGCGGGCUUGAAUCCGGGAGAGGGAUGUGGAAUUCCAGGUGUAGCGGUGAAAUGCGUAGAUAUCUGGAGGAACACCGGUGGCGAAGGCGGCAUCCUGGACCGGUAUUGACGCUGAACGGCGAAAGCUAGGGGAGCAAACGGG